UCUUUUUCCCCUCUUCCCUCUCUCCAGUAACCGAAAAAUGGAAAAAAAAAACUCCCAUCAUCUUCAUCGUUUUUUAUCUUGAUCUGCCUGGAUUUGAUCAGAUUCUUCGGAUUUUCCGGGCAUACCAAGCCUUCAAGUCGGUUCUACGGGUUAAUGCAAUCAUUUCAAAUACAUCUUUGAGGAUGGAUCACAUUGGGUUGACGUUGAUUUACAUUAUUGUCAAGAUCCAUUGCUACCGGAUGUGAUCCCAUUUUCGAUACACAUCGCAUAUUACUCCUCUGUUAUAGGAGCAUCAACUUUUAAAGAAGAAGAUAAAUUGUUCUCGUUGAAGAACAACAAUUCAAUUGGUGGAAUUAAAAAUUUCACACCAUCCCUCAAAUAGCAUUGAUUUCCUCAACGAACUACAUGAAUUUAAUACUUUUGUUGUGUUUUAGAAUACAUAUAAUUUGUAUUUGUCCAUGUAUUUCAAUGGAGAUGUAUUUGAUUCUUGUAAGAA